rnacentral:rRNA from 1 species
GACGAACGCUGGCGGCGUGCUUAACACAUGCAAGUCGAACGGAAAGGCCCCGUUGGUGGUACUCGAGUGGCGACCGGGGGCGUAACACUUGAGUAACCUUCCCUUGACUUCGGGAUAACUUCAACAAACUGGGGCUAAUACCGGUUAGGGAUCCUUUCUUCAUGGGGGGGGUUGGAUAGCUUCGGCGGUUUUGGAUGUACUCGCGGGUUAUCUGCUUGUUGGUGGGGUAGUGGCUUACCAAGGCGUUGACGGGUAGCCGGACUGAGUGGGCGACCGGCCACAUUGGGACUGAGAUACGGCACAGGCACCGACGGGAGGGAGAAGUGGGGAAGAUUGACCAAGGGGCGGAAGCCUGAUGAAGAAACGCCGCGGGCGGGAUGACGGCCUUCGGGUUGGAAACCGAUUUCAGCAGGGGCGAAGCUUGUGGUGACGGUACCUGCAGAAGAAGCACCGGCUAACUACGUG